UGCAAUAUUUGAUCAAAGCACCACACACUUGAUAAAUGCAUAGUUGAAAGAGAAAGAAAGAGAGAGAAUUAACUAUAUAGUAUAGUAACAACAGUAAAUUAAUAACACAAAAACAAACAAAAGAAAACAAAUUAAAGAAAUACAAUUUUAUUUUUGAGAGCCGAAAGAAUCCAAAAAACCAGCACAUUGAAACUCGAAAUAAUAUUGAAUUUUCUUUGUCAAGCUAAUAAUUGCAGCCCCAGUGGUGUGCAUCAGCUUGGUGAUGAUAUGAUAGAGAAGAAACAGUACUCAUAUUUGUAUACAUAUAUAUAUAUAUAUUGAAUUCGAUCCCCUGUUCCCUCUCUUCUAGUCCACAGUCUAUAGCUAAUAAGCAUAUAAGCAUGCUCUCUCUCUCUCUAUAUAUAUACAUACAUACAUAUAUAUAUGGUCUCCUAUUAGUUAUGAUCUGUCCACACUGCCAGGGCACCCUAUACUCUCUCCACCUGUGAUCCCUAAUACCCCUUAUUUAUCCAGCUAUUCCUACAUACCUAUAACUCUACACAUCAUAUAGCUGCUUCUUAGCUGUUCUCUCUCUCUCUCUCUCUACACACAUCUUUUUCAAUCUUUUUUGUUCUAUCAAAUUUAAGCUUCUUGUUAGUUUUAUUAUAUUAUUAUUAUUAUUAUUGUUUUAUUUUCAAAAAUCUCCUUGUGCAUAUGUGUUUUGUCUUUGACCCCUCCAAACCCCUAAGCCCCCUAUAAAUAUAACACAUACUCAGCUUCAAAGGAUAUACAUCUAUCAACUUCCUCUUCUUCCUUGUAUAAUUCUUUUCUUCUUAUGAUUGAAAGUCUUAUUUCUUUUAUAUAACAUAUUAAUUUGAAUGUUCACAAGGGAAGAAGUGAAGCUGCCAGCAUGAUCUAGCUUUGUUUAGUAGAGAAAUCAAAAGAUGAUAUAGAUAUUGUUUUAUAAAUAAAUGCUAAUCUUAGCUAGGUCAUGCUGUGACAGCCUCACUCCUUCCUGUUUGAGAAUCAUUAGAAGAAAAAGCAAAAGCAAAAGGGUAAUUAAGAGAGUAGUUAUUUCACUGCAGACUAGCUUGGCUUUUCGUGCAAUCAACCCCAUGUGACAAAAGGAGUCCUCUUGCUAUUUUUUUAUGUUCUUUUGCUUUUUGUUUAGAGAUUAAUUAAUUAAUCCAUAGAUAUAGUUGAUUAUUGUAUAAAGUUUUUCACCAGUAAUUAGUUCUUUCUCCAACUAAAGCCUCGUUUUCAUUAAUGUAUGUAUUUACAGUUAUAUAUAUAGCACAGAUUUCGGAGUGCAUGAACUUUUUAAUCCAGUAUAUAUAGUACAAAAAAAGAAAAGAAAAUAAAGAGCAAGGUUAACAUUUUGUUUUC